rnacentral:misc_RNA from 1 species
UAAAAAAAAAAAUCACUUUAAAGUGAAAGUAAGACCUGGGAAUCGGAAACGGUAAAGCCCAUUGAGAGAGCAAAACACUUGUACUAAAUUACGAGAAACAGACCAGCGACCGGAGGUGAUAACCACAAUUGAAAACCCUGUUGCAAUUAAUUUGUCAUGUCUGAAACUUGCCCAAGUUUUGUAAAUUCACCAGAAGUAAAUGCAAGUUGUGAGGACCUUUUUUCACAAGUCACACCUAACCCAGAAACUGCUGGUGAAAUGUUACCAAGUCUUAACUCAGGAAUCAUUUCUCAGUCUGCAAGGCCAAAUAUGACAAAAGACAACCAGGAUCGAUUAGAAACCUCUGUGGAGCCUGCACACUCAGAACUAGAACCUGGUAGAAAGGUUUCUGUACCCAGUGAUAAAGAUUGUGAUUCUAACAAAAGUAUGCCUCAUACACAUUUUUUGGAAAGUUUAAUUUCAAGUCUCAAUAUUAAUAAAUCAUCAACUGAGGAAGAAGUAAUAAAACUACCUCGUUCACAGCUUGCUAUGAUCGUAAGGCAGACUCUCUAUAUGCAAACUUUAUACAACUUCAUGCAAGGGCUGGUACAAGAGAAGUGGCCAAAACAAAGAAACUUUAUGUUUAAAGAAGAAAUGAAUGAGGCAAAAAAUCCUCUAUUGAUGCAGAUACAAGACACAGUCUCAGAAAGGCAAAUUUUUAGAUUUGAUAAUCCUUUAACUGAUCUUUCAGACCAAAGUAAGCCCAUCAUUAUUCAAAACGCAGAUGUAAGUCAUAAUACAGCAGAUUCUAGUUACAAAGUGGGGACUUUUGAAACAGAUGGAGAAUCCACCACAAGCAUGAGUUUGCAACUUCCAAGUCAGCUCAACUUGGAUGGUGAUCAUCCAGAGAGUGAAAACCCACUUGGCAAGGGUGAGAAUAACAAAGUGACUUUGAGUGGAAACACAGAGAUUGCAACAUCACCAGAACAACAGUUUAAUAUUCCAGAUUUGGAUCUCAUUGAAGGAUCACAGGAGUGUUUCCAGCAUUCCUCAAAUGGACCAAGAGAUUAUGUUGAUAAUGUUGGUAUAUCAUUUGAGGAGUUUGAACUGAUGCAGGACGAACUUUGUAAGUCCAAGAGAUAUAUGCAUGUUCUGCUACAUGAAAAUAAACAUCUCAAGGAGACAGUGAGAACAUUGGAGGAAGCAAAUACUGCACUUAAAGAGAGAGAAAGCAGAUUCAUUGGGGCAAAUAUGGAACAAGUUAAACCACAUGAACAUCAUUUGGCUGUUUUGGUUGAAAAAGUUAAGAAAAUGGAAAAAAAUAUAGAGCUGAAAGAUCAUGCUAUGGCAAUCCUCAACACUAAAAUUGCAAUUGUCCAAAAUGAAAACAAGAUUUUAAAGGAUCAGGUUCAUUCUGGCUCACUAGUUAACAAGGCAGGACCUCAGUCCCAGCCACCUUCUGACACUGGCUAUUCGGCCUUGCCCCCUAUCAUGGAGCCUUGCAUACGCUGUGUAACACAAGAAACACAGACAAGCUUGCAGCAAGAUGAAAAGAAUGUACCAAUGCUGCUUGCGGAGUUAGAAAAUGUCAGAGCAGAAAAUAAGAAUAUGCAAAAACAAAUUGACCAUCUGAAACACACCCAUAGCCAGAUAAGCUAUGGUGAGGUAGAGCAAAAGAAAGCCUUGGAGAAACAGCUAAAAUCUAUCAAGGAAGAACUUUUGCAAUAUCAGAAAAAACUAAAAGAAUCUGAAGAUCAUCGCAGAGAGCUUGCUGAUGAAAUAACUGGCAGUUAUGAUGAGAUUGAUAAGGAAAAGAAGAAGUCUUUAAUCGCAGAAGAAAGAUAUCGGCGUCUUGAGGGAAUCAUGGAAGAUGAGCGCAGGCGCUUUACUCGAGAUGAGAAACUCCUUCUUGAACGAUGUGAUCAAUUGGACAAAAGUGUACACUUAUAGUCUGCCACUGGCAGACUUUUUCUUCUCUUUUAUUUAUUAAAUUAUUUUAUUGAACAUUGCAAUAUCUUGACACAUUUUUUUUAUCUUAUUUGUUUAGGUAUAUAGGUAUGCCAUCUUAAAAGCCCUUAGGUCUGUUGAGGUUCUAUGCUGAUAUCAAACAUUUGUCAGACUUCACUCCCCUUAUCUGGAGAGUUCUUAGUCUGAAAUGACCUGGACAAAUGGGGAACUCACUGGAGAACUCUAAAUGGUCUUUGAAAAUAUACAUUAAUAGGGCUUGGAUCAUCAACUUAGGCAGAACGCUGUUUUAAAAGGCCUAGUGCUGAUUUUUGAAAGAAGACUGGAAGGCAGUGAACUGAAAGAGAAUCUUAACCUUACAAGUGAACAAGCCAGAGAACUAGCAAACCUGAAAAGAGAAUCCAGCCCAUGCAGAG